UAGGGAAUCUUCCACAAUGGACGAAAGUCUGAUGGAGCAACGCCGCGUGAGUGAUGAAGGGUUUCGGCUCGUAAAACUCUGUUGUUGGAGAAGAACGGGUGUCAGAGUAACUGUUGACAUCGUGACGGUAUCCAACCAGAAAGCCACGGCUAACUACGUGCCGGCAGCCGCGGUAAUACGUAGGUGGCAAGCGUUGUCCGGAUUUAUUGGGCGUAAAGCGAGCGCAGGCGGUUUUUUAGGUCUGAUGUGAAAGCCUUCGGCUUAACCGGAGAAGUGCAUCGGAAACCGGGAGACUUGAGUGCAGAAGAGGACAGUGGAACUCCAUGUGUAGCGGUGAAAUGCGUAGAUAUAUGGAAGAACACCAGUGGCGAAGGCGGCUGUCUGGUCUGCAACUGACGCUGAGGCUCGAAAGCAUGGGUAGCGAACAGGAUUAGAUACCCUGGUAGUCCAUGCCGUAAACGAUGAGUGCUAAGUGUUGGAGGGUUUCCGCCCUUCAGUGCUGCAGCUAACGCAUUAAGCACUCCGCCUGGGGGAGUACGACCGCAAGGUUGAAAC
rnacentral:rRNA from 1 species